rnacentral:lncRNA from 1 species
CGUGAAUAUUGAUCCAAAUAAUUUUAAUUUGUUGCAUUCACAUAAAAAUAGGUUAUAUGCGAAUAAAUACUUUUCUAAUAUGUACAUACUUUUUUUUAAAAUUGCAUAUUUGAUUAAUGACUACGAAUUUGACAGGUUUGUUUAUAAUGUUACAGGUGGUAUUCAAAUAAUAGACAAUGUAGUGUUAAAUAAAAUGGAUAAUUUUGAAGAUAAUUAUGUAACUGUCAUAGAAGCUAUAGAAUACGCGUUACAUGAUAAUUUUGGAAUAAGCAUUUACGAAGAAACAGUAGAUUCAGUCGAAUUAGUAAACGAAAUAGCUCUUUUAUCAGCCUAUCUUGUAGAGUUGACAUCUGCUUAUAAACGUACUAAUACGGAAAUUACUACGAAAGGAGCAAAUGAUGAAAACAUACGUACAAAAUUACAACCUUUGGCUAACAUCAAAUAUUUUGUUUUUAUAAACGAUUCUGAAUAUAGCAACAAUGACGUAACUAUUAAUGAUGUACAAGCAGCAUUAGUGAAGCUAAACACGCUUGUGAUAAUGAAAAAAACAUUUAGUUGUUCUGACUUUGUAGACGUUCUUUCAAAUUCGUUAGAAUAUUAUAUUGGAUAUAAUUACAUAACUAAGAGUAAUAAAGUUUUAACAGACAAGGAGGAUCUCCAAAAAACACGCGUUACAACUAUUGCAAAAAAUAUAAUAAACAUAUGGUUAGGUCGUGAAAUUAUUUAUAGAUACGAUUAUGAUGGGCUCGGAGAAAAAAAGGCAAAAAAAUUGGCUACAGAAAUUAUGAAUAACUCAGGAUAUUAUUCUAAAAAAGAGAAAGGAUUUAACGUUUAUCCAUACUGUAUAGAUUUAGAUAUGAUCAAUCAUGAUGAUAAUGUGAUAAGAAAGUUUUCAACCCAAAUGGACAAGCAUGGUACUGCUGUUUUUAUAACAAUGGAUAAAGAUUUAAUCAAUUCGAAGUUAGAAAUGAUUGAUACUGAUAAACAUUUAGUAUACUUUUUAUUUAGAAAUUUAUCAGUACCAUAUAUCGGAAGAUCACAUCGUAAAGAAGCAUUAUCUACUAAACGGAUAAUAUUGGUAAAAGGUAGGGUAUAUAAUGAAAGUAGGAGUAGUUCGGAAAUUGUAUAUAAAAGUUAUUUAGAUAGUAUCAAUCACAGUGCACUUUAUAUGUUAGAAAGAGUGAUAUUUGUCACAGGUACUGCAGAUAAGAUAAUAAAAGAAGUAAACGUAGAGUAUCAAACAUUUUUUGUGCAUCCUCAUGAAAUGAUUGAUGAGGUGGUAUUAAAUAAAAAUCCGCAUGUAAAAAUGAGCGAAACAUAUUAUGAUAAAAAUACAACAUGUUUACAUUACAACAAUGGAGUACAAUCUUGUGAUGUGGAUGUAUAUAAAGAUUCUGAUUUAUCACCAGUGUAUGUAUCUUAUUUAGAAAAUAACCAAAGAAAAGAUAUUAUUUUUACAAAGAAUGAUGAUGUAUCGAACUUGGUUCAUAACGACGCAAAGGUAUUAUCUGAACGAUAUAAGAUUAAGUUAGACGGAUCAAAGAUGUCAGCAGAUGUAUAUAACACUGUAGAAGCAAUUGUAUAUGAAAUUACUAGUUUAAUGCAAAUAAAAGAGUUUGGACAUAGUAAUUGUUCUCCGUUAGUUCUAAAUGAUGGUAGAUUACACACAUUGAGCACAGAUCCUUCUAUUCUGAUUUCAAGUAUCGGAAAUGAGAGAAGAAAUUGUAUUAAUGUAGUGGCGAUAUAUAAAAAGAUAUUGGAAAAUUGCAAUUUUAGUAAAGAGCAACUAAAACUACUAUUUGGAGGUGUUGAGAGUAAUAUAUUACCUGUUCAUUUGGACGAAGAGUUUGGUAAUGCGUUAAAACUAGAUGAGUUACUAAAAUUGAUUUAUCUUUUUGUGACGAUACCUGAUAAACUAUUAAAAAUAAUUAAAGUAAUUACUAGAAGUAAUGCGACAAUAGGUGAAUUAGUACAAGGUAGGGGGGAUGAAGCAAACGAUGA